GAAAUGCGAUAAGUAGUGUGAAUUGCAGAAUUUAGCGAAUCAUCGAAUCUUUGAACGCACAUUGCGCCCCUUGGUAUUCCAUGGGGCAUGCCUGUUCGAGCGUCAUUUCAACCCUCAAGCACUGCUUGGUGUUGGGCGUUUGUCCCGCCUACGCGCGUGGACUCGCCUCAAAGUCAUUGGCAGCUGUUCCCCUUCGGCUCGUAAGCGCAGCACAGUCGGCGCCCGGAGCUCUGGUGGGAUGGCGUCCAGCAAGCUAUAUUUUCAGGCUUGACCUCGGAUCAGGUAGGGAUACCCGCUGAACGUAAGCA
rnacentral:misc_RNA from 1 species